rnacentral:rRNA from 1 species
UACGGAGGGUGCAAGCGUUAUCCGGAUUCACUGGGUUUAAAGGGUGCGUAGGUGGGUUGGUAAGUCAGUGGUGAAAUCUCCGAGCUUAACUUGGAAACUGCCAUUGAUACUAUCAGUCUUGAAUAUUGUGGAGGUUAGCGGAAUAUGUCAUGUAGCGGUGAAAUGCUUAGAUAUGACAUAGAACACCAAUUGCGAAGGCAGCUGGCUACGCAUAUAUUGACACUGAGGCACGAAAGCGUGGGGAUCGAACAGG